rnacentral:rRNA from 1 species
UCUUAGCUUGCUAAGCCGAUGGCGACCGGCGCACGGGUGAGUAACACGUAUCCAACCUGCCGUCUACUCUUGGACAGCCUUCUGAAAGGAAGAUUAAUACAAGAUGGCAUCAUGAGUCCGCAUGUUCACAUGAUUAAAGGUAUUCCGGUAGACGAUGGGGAUGCGUUCCAUUAGAUAGUAGGCGGGGUAACGGCCCACCUAGCCGACGAUGGAUAGGGGUUCUGAGAGGAAGGUCCCCACAUUGGGACUGAGAUACGGCCCAGACUCC